GUUGGGGGUUGGGGAACUGUUAUAUUGCCUGUCUGUAGUUGUGAUCAUAAAACAUUUCCUUGCCACAUGAAGGAGAAGGGAAAAACAUCUACUGACAGCAAAUCUAUCGUUCUACUCAGACAAAAACUGCUGGUACAGUUAGAAAAUGUAGCCCUCUCAGGGUCAGCGAUGUUCAUUGUGAAUAGGAAGCUUCCCAGCACACAAACCUCUCAUGAUGAUAAGCAUGGCAACGGUCCUUAUAAAGGAUUCACCAUAUCAACACAAACUGAGGCAGCAUGUUGUCAGUGUUCCUGCCAUGUAUGGUUACAUGAACGCUAUAUCAAAAAUAAUCUCUAAGGACACACUCGGCAGUCUUGUUACUGGUAUUGGCGAUAACAAAAUAAACACUGCUUUCUUUGCAGUAACCAGCCCCCUGCUACAUACACACAGUCAUACUCAUAAAAACACAUUAAACCAUGAUGGAUCAGGAAAUCUGCGACACAAGUCAGAUAAAAUGGGUGAGGUUAUGAAGAGGAGGCAGAGGAGAUGGGGAUGACAAUGACAGGAAGCUCUUUUGUUUGCGUUUUAUUUUCUUAGUCCGGCUCCUACUAUGCUUUCUUCCUCCUCCUGACUAUUUUCCCUGCUAUUACAAAAACACUUGAGCGUUGCAUUCAUACACAUGAACGAAAAGCUGAAGCCACAAACCACCUACACUUUAGUCAUUAUUCACUCACUCUCUCCCUCCCUCUACGUGGUUUUAAUUUUCCAAAUGCUUAGACUUUAAUUAAUAAGGGAAAGGGAGAAGGCCUUAAUUGAAAGCAUUCCUGAGAAUAUCAACUACUACUCCUGAGGACUGCUCCAUUUUCUCCC